UAAUGUUUUAUCAUCCCCACA
ensembl:piRNA 21ur-1208 ncRNA